UGAGAUUCCCAGGUAACUAGAGUUGUGUACUUAGGAGGAUUAUGGCUGCCUCUGCUGAGUCAUGCAGGUUGUCCAGGAAGUGGGGCAAAGCCAGCAGUCACAGGCCUCACCCAGCUCCUACAGAAUCUGAAGGACUAGUCUCACUCCCUCUGUGUCCUCCGAAUAGCCCUCAGUCUUUUUCCAGUCGGAGGGCGAUACAGCUUGAAAACUUGCCGGAGGCUUUAAGCUUCCCAGCUGUGAAAGAAAAGGGCUUUAGUUAUUCUCCGGCUGUGAAGUCUGCAAGCGGGAUUCUUGCCCGCCCCCAUGUUCCGACCAGGAGGCUUCUCACCCGGUUCAAAUUGUUACAAAGUUCAGCUAGAGAAUUCCUUCUCGCUGUGGAGUUCUACUCCCUGCUCCUCUGGCCACCCUCCUGAACGAUCCCUGCGGUGCCAGGCAGGAAUGGGCUGCUUGGGGACCCAGCGAGCUCCCAGGGCCUUCCUGCUGCUUUCUCUACCCCUGCGUUUCGCUCGGCUCGGCUCUCUAAGUUGACUCAGCUCCAGCUUUGCCAGAGAGCCUGCGAAUGUUACAGAAGGACUGUGAGGUCAGCCAGCUGCUCCCAUGGAACGCCGAUGACAUGCUGGGAGUGCAGUACUGCACUGCGCACAGCCUCGUGGAUGAGCCGAGAGCCGGCUCUCACAGGUUGGGGUUGGCAACUUUGGCCACGUUCACCUAUGCAUAAGAAAGAGACUGCAAGACACUCCAUGCAUCUGCUUUUACAAAUUAAGACCAAAUAUAGAAGAGACAUCAAAAAGAUUUUCAUCAUCGCCUGCUAAGAGCAGGGGAGAGCAGAGGAAAGAGCGAAUGGAAACUAGAGAGGAAAGAGAAUAGAGGCAGAUCACUGAGGAAGAGGAAAGCUGUGUGGACACAGGGCCCGUCUGGUGCAACGGCCCAUCUCACAGCUGUUAGAGAAUUUCACACGGCAGAGGUUUUUUAAUGUAUGGGCCUAUUUCUGUCUGUUUGCUGGUUUGUUCAUUUGGCUGUUUUCUUCUCUUCGUUGGCAUAAAGAGGAGUAUCAUA